rnacentral:rRNA from 1 species
GGUUGUCGUCAGCUCGUGUCGUGAGAUGUUGGUAAGUCCGCACGAGCGCAACCCCUAUUGUUAGUUGCCAUCAUUCAGUUGGGCACUCUAGCGAGACUGCCGGUAAUAAACCGGAGGAAGGUGGGGAUGACGUCAAAUCAUCAUGCCCCUUAUGACCUGGGCUACACACGUGCUACAAUGGUUGGUACAACGAGUUGCGAGUCGGUGACGGCGAGCUAAUCUCUUAAAGCCAAUCUCAGUUCGGAUUGUAGGCUGCAACUCGCCUACAUGAAGUCGGAAUCGCUAGUAAUCGCGGAUCAGCACGCCGCGGUGAAUACGUUCCCGGGCCUU